GAUGAACGCUGGCGGCGUGCCUAAUACAUGCAAGUCGAGCGAACAGAUAAGGAGCUUGCUCCUUUGACGUUAGCGGCGGACGGGUGAGUAACACGUGGGUAACCUACCUAUAAGACUGGAAUAACUUCGGGAAACCGAAGCUAAUGCCGGAUAAUAUGUAGAACCGCAUGGUUCUACAGUGAAAGAUGGCCUUGCUAUCACUUAUAGAUGGACCCGCGCCGUAUUAGCUAGUUGGUAAGGUAACGGCUUACCAAGGCAACGAUACGUAGCCGACCUGAGAGGGUGAUCGGCCACACUGGAACUGAGACACGGUCCAGACUCCUACGGGAGGCAGCAGUAGGGAAUCUUCCGCAAUGGGCGAAAGCCUGACGGAGCAACGCCGCGUGAGUGAUGAAGGUCUUCGGAUCGUAAAGCUCUGUUAUUAGGGAAGAACAAGUGCGUAAGUAACUGUGCGCACCUUGACGGUACCUAAUCAGAAAGCCGCGGCUAACUACGUGCCAGCCGCCGCGGUAA
rnacentral:rRNA from 1 species